rnacentral:rRNA from 1 species
AUUGAACGCUGGCGGCAGGCCUAACACAUGCAAGUCGAGCGAGCGGCGGACGGGUGAGUCAUGUCUGGGAAACUGCCUGAUGGAGGGGGAUAACUACUGGAAACGGUAGCUAAUACCGCAUACCAUCAGAUGGGCCCAGAUGGGUUUAGCUAGUAGGUGGGGUAACGGCUCACCUAGGCGACGAUCCCUAGCUGGUCUGAGAGGAUGACCAGCAACACUAGAACUGAGACACGGUCCAGACUCAUACGUGAGGCAGCAGUGGGUAAGAGUGCACAAUGGGCGCAAGCCUGAGGCAGCCAUGCCGCGUGUGUGAAGAAGGCCUUCGGGUUGUAAAGCACUUUCAGCGGGGAGGCGUUACCCGCAGAAGAAGCACCGGCUAACUCCGUGCCAGCAGCCGCGGUAAUAC